rnacentral:rRNA from 1 species
CCUACGGGUGGCAGCAGUGGGGAAUAUUGGACAAUGGGCGAAAGCCUGAUCCAGCCAUGCCGCGUGUGUGAAGAAGGCCUUCGGGUUGUAAAGCACUUUCAGUGGGGAAGAAAGCCUUGGGGCUAAUACCCUCGAGGAAGGACAUCACCCACAGAAGAAGCACCGGCUAACUCCGUGCCAGCAGCCGCGGUAAUACGGAGGGUACGAGCGUUAAUCGGAAUUACUGGGCGUAAAGCGCGCGUAGGCGGUCUGAUAAGCCGGUUGUGAAAGCCCCGGGCUCAACCUGGGAACGGCAUCCGGAACUGCGAGGCUGGAGGGAAGGAGGGGGAGGGAGAAUGCCGGGUGUAGCGGUGAAAUGCGUAGAGAUCGGAAGGAAUACCAGGGGCGAAGGCGGCUUACUGGAGUGAAAGUGACGCUGAGGUGCGAAAGCGUGGGUAGCAAACAGGAUUAGAUACCCUGGUAGUC